rnacentral:tRNA from 1 species
UGUAGCUCAGAGGUACAGUGUUUGCCUAGCAUGCAUGAGGUUCUGGGUUCAAUUCCCAGCA